rnacentral:lncRNA from 1 species
AUAGUCAGUCCAUCAGGUUGCUAAGAGUCAGACACGACUGAGCGACUUGCACUUUAACAUGUUACAUACUUCAUAUUGGUUAUUGUUGGUCUCCAAUGGAACGUACGCUAAAUGAAGGCAGAGAUUUUUAUCUUCUUUAUUCACAGCUUUAUCUUUAGCACCUAGUACAGUGUCUAGCACAUAACAAGUGCUCAAUUUAAAUUUAACAAAUAAUUUUAAAUGACCUUAUUUAUACUAAUUAGCCUAGUAAUUUAAAGUCCUGUUACUUUGUAAUGGGAAGGUAUAGACAUAGAUAUCUCAUUACUGUAUUGAUGUAAAUUUGGUUUAGGUUUUCAUCUGGUUCUUAUUUUCAGAUUCUUUUCUCUGUGCUAUAUGACAACCAACAUUGCCUUCACAAGCCCGCAAACAUGUUGAAGCCAGACAGCAAAAUGAAAAAGUCAUAGCAAAUGACCUGGACGGUUCAGUUGUUAGCCUUGUAGAAAAUCUUAACUUUGGAGAAAGCGCAGUUAACAGAUCUGAUGUGAAGUGGCGUCACCCCUCAGAGAUGGAAAUGACCAGUGACAUGAACUGGCAGUUGAGUAACUGCACCUGCAUAUCAACCAUCUGGGACCCAGUUUCUGUUUCUUCCAUCUCCUACAUGGUAAU